UACGUAGGGUGCAAGCGUUGUCCGGAAUUAUUGGGCGUAAAGAGCUCGUAGGCGGUUUGUCGCGUCUGCUGGUGAAAACCGGAGGCUCAACCUCCGGCCUGCAGUGGGUACGGGCAGACUAGAGUUCGGCAGGGGAGACUGGAAUUCCUGGUGUAGCGGUGAAAUGCGCAGAUAUCAGGAGGGAACACCCGGUGGCGAAGGCGGGUCUCUGGGCCGAAUACUGACGCUGGAGGAGCGAAAGCGUGGGGAGCGAACAGG
rnacentral:rRNA from 1 species